rnacentral:lncRNA from 1 species
AGAGCCCGCUAUGGUGACCCCGACACCGGUUCUCACCGCCCAAGGACCUCCCGCGCCGAGGCCUAGCCUUGUUCAACCCCGGAGAUGCCUAUCAGGCUCCGCUUUCCGGUGCCCCCUUCUCUAGCUAACCGAUCCCACGACCCCUGAUCUCCACCCUGGAUACGGUGACCCGACUCCGAACCCCGCCCCCACCCGCGAUCCUCCAAGUUCCCAGUAGCCCACCAUGGUGCCUGCCAGACCAGGCGCAGCCAGAGCCCCGCACAGCAGUGCUGGCUUAAGUAAGCGGCUCAGACGGCCCCAGCUCAUCUCGGCGGCCGGAGCCAGCGGCUCCUCCCCUCACGCAGCCGACCAAUGGACGCGCGAGGCCGAGUAUGGCUUGCCCGCCCUCGGGCACGCCCACUGACGUCUCUUAUUGGUCAGAUGCGCCUGCGCUAAGACGCGAGGCCCCUGCAGCCAAUGGGAAGCCUGAAUGAAGGGACGGCUUGGGCGGGGCUGGGCUUACGAGUUUGUUGUUAUCAGCAACUGCGCAUGCCCAGUGAUAGGGACGCGGGAGAAACGGGAGCCGCGUUCUCGCGGACGACGCGUUGGAGGGCUGUGGACAGUUAUCCGCGAGGUUGCCUGCAGCGGAGCAGGGUGCCAGGGCGCUUUGGGGAACCUCUGGGAAUAGAAAGCGUGUCAAAGUCAUCCCCUUAAAGAGCCCCUUUGAAAGU